rnacentral:lncRNA from 1 species
AGUCAAGGGAGGAAGUUCCUGGAGAAGUAGAAGUACUGCGUGGUUAGCGUCCGGUCACUCUUCAGAGCAGCCUUGUACUUACUACGUUUCAGUGUCUCUCCUUGCAGCUUUUCGUAACUUUAACGAACUAUGCUCCUUUCGUGUCUCAGUUUCUAUAUCUGUUUCGCCAAGCGCCGCUCGGAAGGGUUAAUUCAGGAGCGAGCCCUACUGGAAAAGGCGGCUUUGUGUGGAAGUUUGCACCUGGGAGGUGAGAGCUGGACGGAACGUUAAAGAGCCCUGAAGGCUUAACUCUACGCUUCUGAGGUUAAAAAAGAGAGAGAGAGAAAGAAACGGCUCCAGAAAGAGGCGGAUGACACCCCAGGUUACAUGGCAAAAAAGUGACUAAACUGAGAACUCAGGGCACCAAUCUCCCAGUUUCCCCAUUGAGAUUUCAUCCUGUUACAUUUCCCGGCAUCACCUUGUUCUUGCUUUGAACCCUUGCGACUUUUUUUUUGUAGAUGGAAAAGAUUCUUUUAGUUGGUAUUUGGAGACAUCUAGUGAAAGAAUAUGAAAGCAAAGGUCGAGUCCGCAAGUUCUGGUAGUUCGUGGAAUUAAAAAGUGAGCAUGAUUAGAGUUUACAGCUAAAAAUCCUUGGACUUGGAUCUGAAAUUUGCGAAGGUGCUACAAUUUGAUCAGGAGAGUGGGUAAAAUUAAUACUUGCAUUAUUGUUUUAAUUAUUUGUAGCUCUUUUUACUCUAAACGCUGACAUUUUUUUUUAAGGAAUGAAAAAAUGCGCCUUUAGAUAUUUUGAAAGGAUGUUAUUUCAGUAUAUGAGUUAAUACAUUCCGUGCAGCAGAAUCUUUAUUUGAAAGCACGCUUAUGGAUAAAGGUUAGUCUUUAGUUCACUUACUGAUUCCAUCUGCUCCAUUACCUAGUCUUGCUUAAGUUCUAAGUGCUUAAAAAACUCAUAAGCAGUUUACAGCUCUGCACUUUGCAGCUGUUCGAUCUUUUCCAAAUUCAACAUAUGCAGAUUUUCAGGUUGGCUAUGUGAAGCUAAGUACCACCAAACAUAAUGUUCUACAACAUGGGAAGUAUUUCUGUAAUAGUUAAUGGACUUUAUUAAGUGGGUUGCUUUAGUUUUCCCAGAGCCACCAUUUCUUUUCCACUAUGAAGGGCGGUUUAUAUAAAAAUAGUAUCUUGGAGUUCCCAUAGUGGCUCCAGGAAUGAAUCUGACUAGCAUCCAUGAAGACUCAGGAUCCCUGGCCUUGCUCAGUGGGUUGAGGAUCCAGCAUUGGCUAGGGGUCAAANNNNNNNNNNNNNNNNNNNNNNNNNNNNNNNNNNUCUUUUUGCCAUUUCUAGGGCCGCUCCCUCGGCAUAUGGAGGUUUCCAGGCUAGGGGUCUAAUCUGAGCUGUAGCCGCUGGCCUACACCAGAGCCACAGCAACGCCAGAUCCAAGCCGCAUCUGCAACCUACACCACAGCUCAUGGCAACACUGGAUCCUUAACUCACUGAGCAAGGCCAGGAAUCGAACUGCAACCUCAUGGUUCCUAGUUGGAUUCGUUAACCACUGAGCCACGACGGGAACUCCUUGAAUUAUUUCUGAGUUGAAAAUACAUAUAUAUUUAAAAGUUUAAGUCUUAUUUAUUUAUUUAUUUAUUUGGCCAUGCUUGCAGCAUACAGAAGUUCACAGGCCUGGAGCCACAGCAGUGACUGCAAGAUCCUUAACCUACUAGGCUGCCAGGGAACUCUCCAAAUUUUAAAUUUUUAUGUGGAUAGUGAUAAAUAUAUGUAAAAUGUAUAAAGUGAAACUUGAUAAGAUUAUAAAGAAAAAUGUAUGUGGCCAUAUUAGGUGAUUUUAACAAGCCUUUCCCAGUGAUUAAGACAAGCAAAAAAAAAAAAAAAAAUCAUCAUGGACUUGGAGAAUAGACUUGUGGCUGCCGGACGGGAGAGGGAGGGAGUGGGAGGAAUCGGGAGCUUGGGGUUAUCAGAUACAACUUACAAUAGAUUUACAAGGAGAUCCUGCUGAGUAGCAUUGAGAACUAUGUCUAGAUACUCAUAUUGCAACAGAACAAAGGGUGGAAAAAAAAAUGUAUACAUGUAAGAAUAACUUGAUCCCCAUGCUGUACAGCGGGAAAAA